rnacentral:rRNA from 1 species
AUUGAACGCUGGCGGCAGGCCUAACACAUGCAAGUCGAGCGGAGCGGCUGACGGGCGAGUGAUGCCUACGACUCUGCCUGGUCGUGGGGGAUGCCGUCCUGAAACGGGCGCUAAUACCUCCUACUAUCAGUUGAGCCUAGGUCGGAUUAGCUAGUUGGUGGGGUAAAGGCCUACCAAGGCGACGAUCCGUAACUGGUCUGAGAGGAUGAUCAGUCACACUGGAACUGAGACACGGUCCAGACUCCUACGGGAGGCAGCAGUGGGGAAUAUUGCACAAUGGGCGCAAGCCUGAUGCAGCCAUGCCGCGUGUAUGAAGAAGGCCUUCGGGUUGUAAAGUACUUUCAGCAGGGAGGCGUUACCCGAAGAAGAAGCACCGGCUAACUCCGUGCCAGCAGCCGCGGUAAUUC